UUUAAUUAUUUAAUUUAAAUUAGUUAAUUCUUUGUAAUCUUUUUUUUUUUUUUUGAUGUUCAAAGAACAUUUAGAUAUAUCUUCUAUUCAUCACAAUGAUUUGAGAGUGAAACGGUUCCCAAUUCCAUUCACGUAUUAAUGUAACACUGACAUGGAUUUAGAAUAUUUGUUAGAAAAUUUUCAACCAUAAAUGGAUGUUGAACAUCUCAAUAUGGACACCAGUGAAUCCAAAAAGUGUGAAGAUCAUCUUGAAAAACUUCGUUGGUGAUUUAAGUAUUUCUUUCCAUUCACAAAAGCUGAUGUAUGAGCAGUAAUCUUGAAGAUGAUGUCGAUGAGGAUAAUUUGAAUAACCCUGAGGAGGAGGAGGAGCAUUCUUGUAAUUGCAAUCUUGAUCCGUGUACUAGAUAUUUAUAACUAUUAAAAUUAUUUAAUAAAUAAAGUAUCUAAUAAAAAUA